GUCAAGCCUUCCUUUUCAACACUGUCUUAGCAUUGCUUUUGUCCAAAAGCCAUUACCCAUCCACCGGCUGCUUGGACACCUGAACAAAAUGAGCUGAUCCAUCCAACUGCUUGCACCUUGCUGGCUCUGAGAUGCUGCCCGCGGGGUAGCAGGAAAGGCAGACAGAUCCAGGAAAAACAAGAGUGUCUGUUGGCCACGGUACUGCUCUGCUUACAACUCAGGCCAAGUCAGAACUUCGUUUCACUGAAACUCGAACAAAUCUAUUAGAAAACUGUCAUUCCAACAGCUCUUUACUAAUGAGGAGGAGAAAGACUGACUCUUGGAAAGGACUAAAAGAUUCUGGGCAUUUGAAGUGUCUCCUUGCUGCCAGCUUUUCAGCUAAAUACAGUUGCAGACUCUUUGCUGUGCAUAUGGGGAUAAAAAGCAGAUGUCUUUCAAAUCCCUGAAGUUUCUGUAACUGUCAUUUACAAGAAAAUGCCUUCGACUUGUGCAGCAGGCAAGCCUGAACUGAAACCACAGGGAGAGAGUAAAUAUGAUCCUCCUGGUGUCAUUUUUAAAGCCUCUUUUCUGUCUGUAACUGCUCUUUAAAUGUAGAUUGAAGUGGUUUGUUUUUUCUUUAAUUUGAUAUUUGUUCAAAUGUCUGUUCAUCACACCCCCCACAAUCUCCUCCUCUACCCAGUUGUCAAUCUUCCCAAGCUCUUCCCUAACCCCCCUCCUCUCCAAGUUGUCAAUCCUCCCUUUCCCUGCCCCUUUCCCCAGAACAUUCCCUGUCAUUCCUCCUAGUCCCCUCCCCUGCUUCCAGAGAAUUCCCUGCUCAUUUAGUGAGGCUCAACACCCUAUUGGUUACUUUGUGUUAGUCCACUCCCAUGCUUCCCCUGAUAGGUUUGUGCUAUGUUAGUCCCACCCUAAACUCCUCCCCAGCCCUACCCUCAUUGGUUGCUGUUCCUAUACCCCUCCUCUUGAGUUGUGGUAUAAACCCUCCUUGGAGGGUCUUGAGACUCGCUGAAUAAAACCAUCCUGUUCACCCCCA
rnacentral:lncRNA from 1 species